rnacentral:lncRNA from 1 species
AUUAUUCAUCCAAUCUUCUUAUUUUUUUAAUGUACUUAAGUACUUUUAAAUAUACAAUCAUUCACCAUCAUAUAACUCUUCAAAAAAUACUUCAAGUAGUGUAGUCAAAUAUAAUUUAUUUUUUUUUACACAUGAAGUUAAAUAAAAGUUAGUGCCAACAUAUUUUUUAUUAUCAAUUAUACCUUCUUCAUCAUCAUAUUGUACUUGUGACAACAUAUCCACAACUGCUUGAAUUUUGAAUUCAUAGAUUAUA